rnacentral:rRNA from 1 species
CCUACGGGUGGCAGCAGUGGGGAAUAUGGGGCAAUGGGCGCAAGCCUGACCCAGCAAAGCAGCGGGAAGGAAGAAGGCCUUCGGGUUGUAAACUUCUUUUGUCAGGGACGAAGCAAGUGACGGUACCGGACGAAUAAGCCACGGCUAACUACGUGCCAGCAGCCGCGGCAAUACGUAGGUGGCAAGCGUUAUCCGGAUUUACUGGGUGUAAAGGGCGUGUAGGCGGGACUGCAAGUCAGAUGUGAAAACCACGGGCUCAACCUGUAGCCUGCAUUUGAAACUGUAGUUCUUGAGUACUGGAGAGGCAGGCGGAAUUCCUGGUGUAGCGGUGAAAUGCGUAGAUAUUAGGAGGAACACCAGUGGCGAAGGCGGUCUGCUGGACAGCAACUGACGCUGAGGCGCGAAAGCGUGGUGAGCAAACAGGAUUAGAUACCCGUGUAGUC